CUUUAGUAAGAGGAAGAAACGAGAACGAAGAAGAAGAAGAAGAAGAGAGGAGAAGAAGAAAAGGGAAGAGAGAGAAUUGCGGUAGAGAUCGAUUUGCUUAGGAGAUUACAAGAGGAUUCAGCAAAAAGGAAUCCCAGAUAGCCGUGAGAUAGAUUCCUCGGGACCAGGAGAGAUUGUGGGCCCUGAUAUUCACUAUGAGGAGAGCAAUCAGCUGCAUGUUGAUAAUUCAGACCACGAUGACAUGGUUAUAGAUCAGUUUGCUUGUAUUCUGGAUUUUGAUGAUUUCAGCCAUGGGCAUGACUGCGAAUGUGAUGAUUGUGCAUACGAUGGACGGCAAUAUUAAGGACUGAUGUAUUUGAUUAUCCUUUUGUGUAUAUAUGUGGAUAAGUGUGAAAAAUCAGUUUUUGUUGAUACAGGUUGGAGGGUAAAACUACUGUUAGAAGAUAUUUUGUGUAAAUAUUUGUUUUAGAAUGGGAUGAAUGUA